AAACUGAGUGUCCAUCAUCAAGGUUGGAACCUAUACAAAGGGAUAAACCACAGUCAUAUUUCAAGUGGAACAGCAGAAAUCAGAUGUCCCUCCUUCAUGCUUUUGAAGUGACGCCAUAACGAAACAGAGCUUUUACAACGCCCUCUGUUCUUUAAAUCCUGUUGUAUCCAUGCACACUCACACCUCUCCCAUUCUAGCAAAACCGUCUCCCCCCAGAUCAUGCCUGCCUGCCUCCUGAGCAGGAACCUGUGACGAUUCAGUUCCCAGCCUGCUGUAGAAGGCAGUCACAUCCCCACCUGAAUGUUUUCUACCUGCUCUGAAGUGGGUGCUGGCUCACAUACCCAAAGGUGGAAUUUUGUAUGGAAAAAGAAAGGCAAAAGACCCAGGUAAUUAUACAAAAGUCUAGAAAAUAGGGAACACUGAAUAGACUUCAAUAACUGUAAUUAUUUGCAUUAUAUAGCUGCAUUGGCAUGCCAAGAACAUGCUUGCAGAUGGCCUUGCACAGACCAAACCAAACACUGACCUGCAGUUGAGCAAAGCUCUUCCUCACCUUUUGCCCACUGUUUUUAUGUGAACAUACCUUUCUGUGGCAGGAUACAUUACAUAACUGCCCUUAGAAUAGAUCUGGUGGUUUGUUUUUUUUUAAAUGGGUUUGAAAAAAUCUAAAUGUAAAAUUGAUGAGCCAUAGUCCACUACAAAUAAGACACUCCAGGGUGUGCAUUAUUCAGCUACUGUUGCACUUCUCAAAAGAUGAGCUUAAUGCACACCCUGUUGUGACUUAUUACUAUAUGCAGCGUGCAGAAUUAGACCAAAAUGCUCUUACAUCCGAAGCACGCAGUGUGUUUCCAUUUGCAGCAGAGGCAGCUCUCUUUGUUGUGUGUUAAUCAUUACUCAAGCAUACUGUACUCCGUGUGCCCACCGCUCCUGCCCUGGCAGUUGGCAUCCUGCUGCUCAGGGGGUGAUUGCUGGGUUUGGUGAACAGUAGGCCCAUUUCCCGUCGCAAAUGUCAGAGGUGUUUCAGAGAAGCUAUUGUCAAAGAGUGCUAAUGAUAGGAAACAUGAGUCAGCCUGUGAAAAUCCAGGAGUAAAGAGGCGAUAAAGUAGCAGGAAGUAACCUGCUAGAAAUCCUUCUGUAGGCUGUGCCUGAGCCUGGUUACGAGAGAGUGAAGCUCUAACCUCUGAAUCUGAGUUCCAUGGGAGUUAAGUGCCUCUCCAGCGCUAAAGAGCUAAAGGCUCCUGGGCUGUAGCUGGUUGAUAAACCUCUCCAUAACCCAGACGUGACAGCAGGCAGUUGACAACACACAGCGCUCCCCCAAAGGUCAGCCCCACACUGAGGUACAGGGUUAUUUGCUGGACCGGGGCUCAUUGGGUGGCUGGAGGUAUUUUUGGGAAUCCUACAGGUUUGUUACCCUGGAUGUGGCACAUGAGGAGUUAAAUCUCCGGCAGCCAACAGACACACAGGUGUAAAGAGGAUUCGCUAAGGAGGCUGGUCCCUACAGAGGCUGCCGGGGGGGAGCCUACAAAUACAGCUCAUGGGAAGAAAAGAGAGUGGUGAUGAGGGUCUGCUGUGGGUCAUGGAGGGCUUGGUGUUUCUUAGCAAGGUUGGGUAAACGUAUUUCAAGUAACAAACAGCCAAAAGCAGCUCCCUUUGUGAGGUUUUUGACAUUCUUCUGCUUUGUUUGGCUUGUUUAGGUGCUUUGUUAAAUGUCAAGAGAAAGGUGGAACUGCCCCAUUUUCAAGCCAUCUCCAUUCUACAGACUAGCACCUCACCUGGACCAGUGUAAUGAACUAGGAGUCCAGAGAGAAGCCUUCAGAAGGAAAGGAUUUUGUAAAUAUGCAUUUAAAUGGCCUGUGGCAGCUUGUUCCAGACAGAGCACUUUCUCCUCUAAGCCACUCUCCCUUUCUGAUGCGAGAGGAGGAAAUAAGACGAGGCACUUGAGGAUGAAAUGAAGAAAGAGCACAAUCAGUGUGGAGUUUAUUCUCCAAGUCACAGAGGCGUGCUGUUAAAGACCUGGUUUGUGUUUGAACCUCUUCUAUUUAAAUGAAGUGCAGUCUUGAGGUCUGCUUUGCCUUGAAUUCCUGUGUCUUGCUCUUGCUACUGAACCCAGUCGGAAGAGGGACUGGUGAGCGCCUACCGUUGUCUAGAGAAGCAAGACCAGUGUUGUGCCAUGAGCAAUUGCACCCUCUCCUGGUUAUGACUCUGCGAGAGCAGUUGAGAAGCUCAUAGUAGUGACAACUUACAUGUUAUGUUGUGUUAUCUCUAUGAUAUGACCAACCAUCAAAUGAAUCUUGGUUUUUAUAUGCUUAUGUAGCCUGGGGCCAGCUUCACUUGUGCAGUAAAACAAACAAGGGACAGAAGUUUGGGACUGUUACAAAUCCAGGCACUACAUGGUGUAAGUGACAUCAGAACCUGGCUCACAGCACGUUAUGGAUCUACCAGAGCCUUGUACAGAGAUUCCCUGGCUGCUUGCUGGACCUGUUUCCUGAGACCCCCUGAUGCCAUCUCACUGUAAGUCCAGUGUUGCUGACAUGAGAGUAAAUCUAGUUGUCUUGUGCGGCUUGGACAGGUAAGACUAGUUCACGCAUGCCUGCAGCUGGGUUGGGUUUAUUUUGUUUCCUCAUUUGGAAAUAUAAAAUGCUGUUUGGUCAUUUUUUCACCUUCAGAUCAUUUUAAGAAUUACUCUGUAACAGGAGCAGCUGCUUUGAGUAAAAAUAAAAACUACAUCCUAAACAUUUUUAAUAUUUUUAAGUUUGGAAACGAAUUUUAAGAGCUUACUUAAGCCAGUCCAGUCCAUAACUACAUUUAAGGCCUUGGAAUGUCAUCCAGGUUUUUAAUUUUAUCUGGCUUCUCUAUUUUCUCUUCUUAAUGGUAACAAGGACAAGAUGUGCUAAUACAGGCUAAUAAUCAUGCUAUCUAUAGCCGCCUAUGUCAUCUUUGUACAUAAAAUGUCCCUAUUUCCUGUUAUUUAUUACUGUGUAUGGAUGAGAGAUGUUUCAUUAAGUUUAGGUGAGGUAAUAUGUUGCUAAAAGGGCUUGAAAAGGCAGGGCUUUUUGCUUGGGAGAAGUGGGGUUGUGUUCCUAUUCAACCACAUGCCUUUAAAAAAAGAAUGAGAUUAAAUUGUAAGACAACAUCACAGGGAGGAGCGAGUGGCUGCAUCUGGUGCCAGCCCAGCGCUGUUUGAUGCUGCACAAACACAUCUUGAUGCUCACAAACCAGGAGGCUGCAUUUCUCCCCAUUCUGACUAUUGAGCUGUGCUUUUGGCAUUCUGGUACUAACCAAGAAGACACUGUGGCUUCCGAAAAGAUCCCUGAAUUUGUGAUAGCAGAGAAAUGACAAUCUAGACAGAUGGCAGGGUCUCGCAUGAGAACAAAAUCUGCGUGGUUGUGAUCUUCCUUUAUUAUUACCACUCAGGCAGUGACUGUUUCUUAUUUCUGAUGCUAACACACCCCCACUGCAACCAAAAGACUGUCCAUCACAGGGAUAAACAAGCCAUAAAGGUGUCAUUCUGUUUUGCAAACCCAAGCACAGCUCUAUUCAACAGCCAGAUGAGGACUAGGGGACUUCUACUAAACCAUUCUGCAAUUCUUUAUGGAUCCCAGAGCUUUGUUUGGAGGAUCCUGUAAUGCAUGUUUAAUUUCCCCAUUAAAAGAAGCUUCCCUUGGAAAAUAGGUUGCGACUAUUGCACCAGGUAGACUCUCCUGCAUAUUUGUAUCAGUGAAUCUAGAUAGCCACGUCAAAAGCCCCUCAAGGGCUUCAGAAGUCGUAUAGACCAGAGGCAAAACCAUGUGUUCUGUGAUGUAAGGGAGCAGCUAGUGCUGAAAUUCGGGCUUAUGAGCAAAGGGUGGUGAAUCAACUCAGCACAUGCAUGGAUGCUGCAUAGGUAAUGAAAUAUGGUUUUCUGAAACUUCAAACCCUCAUCAACAGAUCAAUAGAGAGUCCAAUGCAGGCAAGUGCUAAGAUCACUCUGACACACUAAUACAGAGAACUCCCUGGGAAGCACCUUGUGUAACAGUGCAUUCCCAACUUUUCAACGUGUCUAUAUGUUAAAUUAAAAGCACAACAUGCCUGUGCAUGUUGCAGUGCAGUUCUUGCCCUGACCCCAUCAGCUCUCCUAGGAGCUAAUAACAGACUUCAUAUUGGCCUAGGAGAAGGGGCCAGUGACUUCUUUGCCACUGUCAGAUGUCUGGUAGCUGGCACUGCAGCCUGCAAGCCCUAGCUCUGGUGCUACCCAUUG